rnacentral:rRNA from 1 species
UGUAAGCGUAUACCAAAGUUGUUGCAGUUAAAACGCUCGUAGUCGGAAUUUGGCAGUUCCGGAUGUGUGCACGUCGUGUGCGCACUUCGCGGGGAUUGCUUUUGUGGUCUUGCGUAGGAUGAGGCACUUUUAUUAGUGAACGUCCUCACGCAACCACUUUUUACUGUGGGAAAAUCAGAGUGCUCAAAGCAGGCAUUUGCCGUGAAUGUAUUAGCAUGGAAUAAUAGAAUAGGACUUGGUUCUAUUUUGUUGGUUUGUUGGGACUGAGUAAUGAUUAAGAGGGACAGUUGGGGGCAUUUGUAUUUCGGUGCUAGAGGUGAAAUUCUUAGAUUGCCGAAAGACAAACUGCUGCGAAAGCGUCUGCCAAGGAUGUUUUCAUUGA